CGGGGCGUGGCGCAGCCCGGAUAGCGCGCACGGUUCGGGACCGUGAGGUCGGAGGUUCAAAUCCUCUCGCCCCGACUA
rnacentral:tRNA from 1 species